rnacentral:tRNA from 1 species
GGACAUAGCUCAGUGGUGGAGCAUUUGCCUCGAGUGUACAAGGCUCUGGGUUUGAUCCCCAGCAUCACA